GUUUGUUAAUAAAGGCCUGUACACAGGACAGCUGGCCCCUGUUUUGUUUGUGGCUGAGGCAAAUAAGAGCACAUUCCACUGGACCUAGUCUUCUAACAAAACUUGUCACAUGGGAAAAAUUACUGGAAAAGUCAAUAUCCAUAUUGCCUGAAUGCUGCUGACGUCAUACACCAGACACACAAAGACUAGCACACAGACGUUGCCCACCUGUAAACCCUGCCAAACUUCCUCUAGUCCAUUCACCUUUCUUGUCCAGAAGAGCAGAAUCUAUUGCACAAGCAAAACAGGAACCUAAACUGAGCCCUUACUUUCAGCACUUUGUGAGAUGUGACUGGGUCAAAAAGUGCAAAGAUCUCCAACCACCAUCAAGCCAAAGUCUCCUACCAGAUAGUCAGUUAAGCUUUUUUGUAUUUAUAGCACUGUCUAUCUGCACUCUGUACUGUAUUGUCUUGCACUUUUUGUUCUAUGUUUCACCCUGGUCCUGGAUGACUGUUGUUUCAUUUCAAUAUGUACUUGUAUACAGCUGAAAUGACAAUAAAGCCCCUC